GGAGGUUACUGCUAUCGAGGUUCGACUAAGCCAUGCGAGUCGAAUGUAGCAAUACAUGGCGUACUGCUCAGUAACACGUGGAUAACCUACCCUUGAGAUGGGGAUAAACCCGGGAAACUGGGUAUAAUACCCAAUAGAUCUCGACUGCUGGAAUGCAUCGAGCUCCAAAGCUUUGGCGCUCAAGGAUGGAUCUGCGGCCUAUCAGGUAGUAGUGGGUGUAGCGUACCUACUAGCCUACGACGGGUACGGGUUGUGAGAGCAAGAGCCCGGAGAUGGAUUCUGAGACACGAAUCCAGGCCCUACGGGGUGCAGCAGGCGCGAAAACUUUACAAUGCUGGAAACAGCGAUAAGGGGACCUCGAGUGCCAGGUUACAAAUCUGGCUGUCGUGAUGCCUAAAAAGCAUUGCAUAGCAAGGGCCGGGCAAGACCGGUGCCAGCCGCCGCGGUAACACCGGCGGCUCGAGUGGUAACCGUUAUUAUUGGGUCUAAAGGGUCUGUAGCCGGCCGGAUAAGUCUCUUGGGAAAUCUGGCAGCUUAACUGUCAGGCUUUCAGGAGAUACUGUCUGGCUCGAGGCCGGGAGAGGUGAGAGGUACUUCAGGGGUAGGGGUGAAAUCUCGUAAUCCUUGAAGGACCACCAGUGGCGAAGGCGUCUCACCAGAACGGACCUGACGGCAAGGGACGAAAGCUAGGGGCACGAACCGGAUUAGAUACCCGGGUAGUCCUAGCCGUAAACGAUACUCGCUAGGUGUCGGCAACGGUGCGACCGUUGUCGGUGCCGUAGGGAAGCCGUGAAGCGAGCCACCUGGGAAGUACGGCCGCAAGGCUGAAACUUAAAGGAAUUGGCGGGGGAGCACCACAACGGGUGGAGCUUGCGGUUUAAUUGGAUCAACGCCGGAA
rnacentral:rRNA from 1 species